rnacentral:rRNA from 1 species
CCUACGGGAGGCAGCAGUGAGGAAUAUUGGUCAAUGGCCGGAAGGCUGAACCAGCCAAGCCGCGUGAAGGACGAAGGUGCCAAGCAUUGUAAACUUCUUUUGUCAAGGGACAAAAUCAGGCUCGAGAGCCUGACCGAGGGUACUUGAAGAAAAAGCAUCGGCUAACUCCGUGCCAGCAGCCGCGGUAAUACGGAGGAUGCGAGCGUUAUCCGGAUUUAUUGGGUUUAAAGGGUGCGUAGGCGGGAUGCCAAGUCAGCGGUAAAAAUGCGGUGCUCAACGCCGUCGAGCCGUUGAAACUGGCGUUCUUGAGUGAGCGAGAAGUAUGCGGAAUGCGUGGUGUAGCGGUGAAAUGCAUAGAUAUCACGCAGAACUCCGAUUGCGAAGGCAGCAUACCGGCGCUCAACUGACGCUCAUGCACGAAAGUGUGGGUAUCGAACAGGAUUAGAUACCCUAGUAGUC